UACAGAGGUCUCAAGCGUUGUUCGGAAUCACUGGGCGUAAAGGGUGCGCAGGCCGCGCGGGCAGUCAAAUGUGUAAUCCAGGGGCUCAACCCCUGAACUGCGCUUGAUACUUCCGCGCUAGAACUUUGGAGAGGAGUCUGGAAUUCUCGGUGUAGCAGUGAAAUGCGUGGAUAUCGAGAAGAACACUUAGGGCGUAGGCAAGACUCUGGACAAAUGUUGACGCUCAAGCACGAAGGCUAGGGUAGCGAACGGG
rnacentral:rRNA from 1 species